AAUACCCUGCCUUGUUCGCAAACAGGCUGACGUCUCUGGCCCAUUAAUUGUAAGUUAGGGAGUUUGAAUACGGCGGCAACUGAACGCCCUUUACUGGGACUCAGGAACCGACGGAUAAAGCACCCACCUCGAUUUCGAGGAUCAGAGAUAAAUGCCUCUACGACAAAGUGGGGUAUUU
rnacentral:other from 1 species